ensembl:lncRNA
GGCACGGUCAGUCAGUCAGUCAGACAUGUUAGGCAAUGGGACGGUCAGUCAGUCAGUCAGUCAGACAUGUUAGGCAAUGGGACGGUCAGUCAGUCAGUCAGACAUGUUAGGCAAUGGGACGGUCAGUCAGUCAGUCAGACAUGUUAGGCAAUGGGACGGUCAGUCAGUCAGACACGUUAGGCAAUGGGACGGUCAGUCAGUCAGAUACGUUAGGCAAUGGGACAGUCAGUCAGUCAGACACAUUAGGCAAUGGGACGGUCAGUCAGUUAUACAUGUUAGGCAAUGGGACGGUCAGUCUGUCAGUCAGACAUGUUUGGCAAUGGGACGGUCAGUCAGUCAGUCAGUUAGACACGUUAGGCAAUGGGAUGUUCAGUCAGUCAGUCAGACACGUUAGGCAAUAGGACGGUCAGUCAGUCAGACAUGUUAGGCAAUGGGACGGUCAGUCAGUUAGACACGUUAGGCAAUGGGAUGGUCAGUCAGUCAGUCAGUCAGACACGUUAGGCAAUGGGAUGGUCAGUCAGUCAGUCAGACACGUUAGGCAAUGGGACGGUCAGUCAGUCAGUCAGUCAGACAUGUUAGGCAAUGGGACAGUCAGUCAGUCAGACACGUUAGGCAAUGGGACAGUCAGUCAGUCAGACACGUUAGGCAAUGGGACAGUCAGUCAGUUAGUCAGUCAGACACAUUAGGCAAUGGGACAGUCAGUCAGUCAGACAUGUUAGGCAAUGGGACAGUGAGUCAGUCAGACACGUUAGGCAAUGGGACAGUCAGUCAGUCAGACACGUUAGGCAAUGGGACAGUCAGUCCGUCAGACACGUUAGGCAAUGGGACAGUCAGUCAGUUAGUCAGUCAGACACGUUAGGCAAUGGGACAGUCAGUCAGUCAGUCAGAUACGUUAGGCAAUGGGACGGUCAGUCAGUCAGACACAUUAGGCAAUGGGACGGUCAGUCAGUCAGUCAGACACAUUAGGCAAUGGGACAGUCACUCAGUCAGUCAGACACGUUAGGCAAUGGGAUGGUCAGUCAGUUAGUCAGUCAGACACGUUAGGCAAUGGGACGGUCAGUCAGUCAGUCAGACACGUUAGGCAAUGGGACAGUCAGUCAGUCAGACACGUUAGGCAAUGGGACGGUCAGUCAGUCAGUCAGUCAGACAUGUUAGGCAAUGGGACAGUCAGUCAGUCAGACACGUUAGGCAAUGGGACAGUCAGUCCGUCAGACACGUUAGGCAAUGGGACAGUCAGUCAGUUAGUCAGUCAGACACGUUAGGCAAUGGGACAGUCAGUCAGUCAGUCAGAUACGUUAGGCAAUGGGACGGUCAGUCAGUCAGACACAUUAGGCAAUGGGACGGUCAGUCAGUCAGUCAGACACAUUAGGCAAUGGGACAGUCACUCAGUCAGUCAGACACGUUAGGCAAUGGGAUGGUCAGUCAGUUAGUCAGUCAGACACGUUAGGCAAUGGGACAGUCAGUCCGUCAGACACGUUAGGCAAUGGGACAGUCAGUCAGUUAGUCAGUCAGACACGUUAGGCAAUGGACAGUCAGUCAGUCAGACAGACACGUUAGGCAAUGGGACGGUCAGUCAGUUAGACACGUUAGGCAAUGGGUCAGUCAGUCAGUCGACAUGUUAUUAUUAGGGUCUACAGUUUACCUCCGCCCCCUUGGUCUAUCCCUCUGACCUGAGGUACGUAGAGGAGUCUACAGUCCAUUACUAAUCAAACAUCGUCUCUCUGUCUGUCUCUCCUUAGGCAUGUGACAUAGAGCCCAAUCAGAGUGACAGAGACCCUUUUUGGAGUGUUGCCAUCGAGAGGAGGGGACUCCCUGUCCAGACACCCAGGCGCCCCCCCAACAAACACACACACACACACACACACACACACACACACACACACACACACACACACACACACACACACACACAAACUCCAGGAGUGCUGUGAACAGGGACAGUCAAAGUGGCUGUCAGAAGUACUGAACAACUUCAUCUCAAGGCUGCGUCCCAAUAGUAUAAGACAUUGUCAUCUCCUCAUCUCCUUUCCUCUUCCUCAUCUCCUUUCCUUCAUGAGCUGAUCUGUUUGUACUGGAUAUGUUAAAUAGGUUCGUUUACACAAUUAGAAUGGGCAAAUGUGAAAUAGCACCUCAUGUCCUAUUGCACUAUAUAACAUUGGGUAUUAUUUCUGACACAGCCCUAGUUUAUAAACUUUUACAAGUCAUGGAGGAGACUAGGGGAGGAUAUUAGGAAGGAGAUUAAGGAAAUUAAGCUUUGUAAAAGUAUUGGGACACUGUCAGACAGACAAACACCAUCUCACAUACUAUGCGUCCUUUAUACAAAACUUGAGCUGGAAGAGUAUUUAAGAAAUGGCUUUUUAUAAUAGAAGUAUAUUUGUAAUUUUAUAGAGCUGGUCAUUGUACAUUUAUCAAUAAUACUUGUUUGUGAUAUAUAUUUGUAUCUACAUGUAAAUAAUAAUUGUUUCAGAUUCUAUUGCAUUGGCAUUAAAACGCUUAUAUGAUGGGUUUUAGGUUGGUCACUCAUUGACUGGAGUUAAGAUGUGUUGAUGCUUUUAAAGAAUGUGAAAGAAAAAGUGGAUUAACUCUGAAAACUGGAAUCCAACAAAAUGUAUUUAAUACAGCUAAUGUCUAUUGUCUAUAAGAGAUCAUAUUAAAGUUAAAUAUUAUUCUUUUAAAACAUGUCUCUU